rnacentral:rRNA from 1 species
AUUCCUACGGGAGGCAGCAGUGGGGAAUAUUGGACAAUGGGGGGAACCCUGAUCCAGCCAUGCCGCGUGUGUGAAGAAGGUCUUAGGAUUGUAAAGCACUUUAAGUUGGGAGGAAGAGCAGUUAACUAAUAUUUGACUGUUUUGACGUUACCGACAGAAUAAGCACCGGCUAACUUCGUGCCAGCAGCCGCGGUAAAUC